rnacentral:snRNA from 1 species
CUACUUACCUGGCAGGGGAGAUACCAUGGUCACGAGGGCGGUUUUCCCAGAGCGAGGCUUGUCCGUUGCCCUGUGGAUGUGCUGACCCCUGCGAUUUCCCCACAUGUGGGAAACGGGUCUGCAUAAUUUGCAGUAGGGGGGGACUGCGUUCGAGCUCUCCCCUG